rnacentral:rRNA from 1 species
GGGCACUCUGUGGAGACUGCCGGUGUUAAACCGGAGGAAGUGGGGAUGACGUCAAGUCCUCAUGGCCCUUAUGACCAGGGCUACACACGUGCUACAAUGGCCGGUACAAAGAGUUGCAAUACCGCGAGGUGGAGCUAAUCUCAUAAAGCCGGUCUCAGUUCGGAUUGGAGUCUGCAACUCGACUCCAUGAAGUUGGAAUCGCUAGUAAUCGCGGAUCAGCACGCCGCGGUGAAUACGUUCCCGGGCCUU